UCGUGUGUAGUAUAGUGGUUAGUAUAUUCCGCUUUCAGCCGAUUCGAGGUUGUGGUCCGGAAAGUCCCGGGUUCGAACCCCGGCACGCGAA